AUUGAACGCUGGCGGAAUGCUUUACACAUGCAAGUCGAACGGCAGCACGGGGCAACCUGGUGGCGAGUGGCGAACGGGUGAGUAAUACAUCGGAACGUGCCCAAUCGUGGGGGAUAACGUAGCGAAAGUUACGCUAAUACCGCAUACGAUCUACGGAUGAAAGCGGGGGAUCGCAAGAACUCGCGCGAAUGGAGCAGCCGAUGUCAGAUUAGGUAGUUGGUGGGGUAAAGGCGCACCAAGCCGACGAUCUGUAACUGGUUUGAGAGGACGACCAGCCACACGUGAACUGGGACACGGCCCAGACUCCUACGGGAGGCAGCAGGGGGGUAUUGUGGACAAUGGGCGCAAGCCUGAUCCAGCCAUUCCGCGUGCAGGAUGAAGGCCUUCGGGUUGUAAACUGCUUUUGUACGGAACGAAACGGUGAGCUCUAAUACAGUUUGCUAAUGACGGUACCGUAAGAAUAAGCACCGGCUAACUACGUGCCAGCCGCCGCCGUAA
rnacentral:rRNA from 1 species